AGCGAACGCUGGCGGCAGGCCUAACACAUGCAAGUCGAACGAACCUUUCGGGGUUAGUGGCGGACGGGUGAGUAACACGUGGGAACGUGCCUUUAGGUUCGGAAUAACUCAGGGAAACUUGUGCUAAUACCGAAUGUGCCCUUCGGGGGAAAGAUUUAUCGCCUGUAGAGCGGCCCGCGUCUGAUUAGCUAGUUGGUUGAGGUAAUGGCUCACCAAGGCGACGAUCAGUAGCUGGUCUGAGAGGAUGAUCAGCCACAUUGGGACUGAGACACGGCCCAAACUCCUACGGGAUGCAGCAGUGGGGAAUCUUGCGCAAUGGGCGAAAGCCUGACGCAGCCAUGCCGCGUGAAUGAUGAAGGUCUUAGGAUUGUAAAAUUCUUUCACCGGGGACGAUAAUGACGGUACCCGGAGAAGAAGCCCCGGCUAACUUCGUG
rnacentral:rRNA from 1 species